UUUCUCAAUCUUGAUACAGGAGGCGUCGAUCUCUUUGGCAAAUUCCCUGACGGCCUGGUUCGGGUCCUCGUACGUGAAAGGAUCGACGUAUAUCCUCACUCCUGCAGAGAGACAUUUGCAAGAAGCAAAGGAAGGAAGGAAGUUAAAGAAAAAAGUGCUGCAUGUGGGUCCACUUACGGGUGCAGGGCAUGGACGCCGGGUCUGUCUCCGAGCGGAAGUAUCCCUUGUCACAGACGCAGGAGGUGGAGCCUUCCCUCACCGAGUAACUGUGGAGCGGACACUUGGAGCAGGAGCCGUCGGUGGCCAGAGCUCGGUAGUAGCCGAUCUUACAGGCUGUGAGGAGGAACACAGAGGAGCACAGCCGUAUUUGACAGCUCGGUGCGGAUCACGAAGGAUCAAGGUUUCUAAUCCCCGAGACGUGCCCGAGCGUGGACACACCUCCGCCUCGGGCCGGAGAUCAGCGGCUUCGGAUUCCCCAACAAUCUUGUGAGACGUCCGCAUCCCCAUAUUACAUUCCAGCCGUCCUGCAGAGGAGCUGCACCUCAGCGCGCUUCCUACAAAUAGCCGCGCGAGGACACAGACAGAGGAGGUGAUGAGUGUGGAGAACUGAAAAGGAACUAACAGUGAGGCAGGACGACGGCGCAGCCAGGAAAAGCAUUUCAGCACCUCUGCUAAUGAUGGCUGAAUUACCCUCCUCCCCUGCUGCCUCCAUCCAUCCAUCCAGCCAGGGGAGAAUGUUGAGAGGGCUAAUAGAGGAUAAAAAAAUAAAAAAAAUAAUAAUGGAAGUUUUAAGCAAUUAUUUCAACUGGAAAAGGAAGGAUACGGUGAGGAUUGGUCAUAAAACAUUUUGUCCUUUUCUGUCACUCUGUGUGUGUGUGUGUGUGUGUGUGUGUGUGUGUCUGUGUCUGUCUCGUUGUUGCUAAGAGUUUUCUCCUCUCUAUUCAGCAGCACAAAAUGAGACUCUCUGGUGGCGGGGAGAGUGAUGAGUACAUUCACCUCUAUUCUGCUGCGCUUUUCUCCACUUUGAGUGUAUAUAUAUGUGUGUGUGUGUGAGAGAGAGUGUGAGUGCAGUUGCUCUACAUAUUUAUAAAUGAGCCUCUGUACAUGAGUAAAUGACUUAAGCUGCUUUUUCCUCAGCAGUCCUGCAGUACCAGUCGGACUCAGCUCUCCACGGCACAGGAUGGAACUGAAAUCUGUAGCUUGUUAUUUUCAUGAUCACUGAAUAUCAAUAUUUGGUUUUCUGUGGUUAAGGACAGCCUACUGUUGACUGUCGUCAUUGUAUGGUUGGUCAGAGAGGCGGAGGCCGAGCGGGCUGUGAGUCAGUGGAGUAGAUUAAGACACACUGUAGGUGCUGGAUCACAGUUCUUGGAAGCGAACAGAAGGCUGUUGUUUUGGCAUGGAUCUCCAUGUAUCGCCCCGGGCGCCGUUUACCGCUUGUUCCUGCUGGAUUCGUACAUGUGUGAUAUGUGCUGUGUGUAUGUGCACGUGUGUUACCUGUUUGUUAGUGGGGAAAAUAAUGAGUGGUGACAGUGGGGCCGAGCACCAAACAGGCUCUGUCUUUCUCCUAACAGUGACGGUAAUCUCAUUAUUCAGCCCACUUCCUGCUGCUGCCACCGGAGACAGACUCACACUAACACUAACCACAAGAGCGGCCGCACGCAUACGGGAGAAGGGUGAAGAGAUGACAGAGGAGAGAGUGAAUAAUGGGUGAAAAAAAAUGGAUAGAAAAUUUGAGUUCAAAAAUAAGGAGGAGGAGGAGGAGGAGGAGAGCUCAUGAGGAGUGAUUGGGUUAAAGCAACAGGUCAUUAGAAGACGCCGAGGACACGGACAGAAAAAAACUAAAGGACCAGAAAAUGAUGCAAAUGUCAGAUUAGAUGUCAAAAAUUAUGAAUAUUUACCACCGUCCAUAGAAUAAAAGUGACACUUAUAUUUUAAAGGUCAUGAUAAUAUGGUCCAGAUUGUGUGAAA